AGAAGAUGAAAAUAAUGUGCAUACGUUAGAUUUUCUCUAUUAAAAAUUGAUAGAUCAUAGAUAACCCCUCAUACAGAUAAACAUGGCAACAACCAACUUUGUUCAUUCUUAAAUUUUUGUCUGGAAGUUUUAACUGAGGUGCGGACUCACAAGUUGCUUUCACAGAAUUGUGGUUUCGUUUUCAUGUUUUGGUCUCAGUACAAUAAAUGAAUGUCAGCAGCGGCGAACUUGAAGUUUAGGCACAAUAUGGGACCAAAUGGAAAAGGCUCUUUAGCCUGCUGUCACAGUAUAUAAAAUUGUCUUUUGUAACAAUAUGGAGGAGUAGAAGGUCUCAGGUUCAAUAAUGAACAAGUGUGUAAAAAUAUUCAGAUGCAGGUACAGUCCUAUUAUUUAAUUAAUGAAUGUUGGUACAUAAAUGAAUCACAAUGGAGUAAAUUGCAAAAAAGCAGGUAAGCUAGUAAAACAUGAAUUAUGAUACACAAUAAUCUAAUAGAUUCAUGAAGCUGCCGCCUCUAGUUCAGUAGCUGGAGUCUCAGGUUCUUCAUCAUUGUAAAUGUUCUCUGCCAUUUGCCAGACCUGACACAAAAAAAAAAAAAAAUUGAGUUAGUAAAUUACAUUUUUUAAGUACUUUAAAAGUUGUGCACUCUAUUAUCUCUUACCUGCAUGAUAUUAUCCUCAGAAACAGAGCAAAUAACCCAAGGUUCAUUGGGAUUCCAAGAGAAGUCCGAGAUCUUGGCUGUGUGACCACCAUGGAUAAA